CGGGUGUAGCUCAACUGGAUAGAGCGUCGGUCUACGAAACCGAAGGUUACAGGUUCGAGUCCUGUCAUCCG
rnacentral:tRNA from 1 species